rnacentral:rRNA from 1 species
GACAGAGGGGGCAAGCGUUGCUCGGAAUCACUGGGCGUAAAGGGCGCGUAGGCGGGAUGGCAAGUCGGUCGUGAAAUCCUUCGGCUCAACCGAAGAACGUCGGCCGAUACUGCCGUUCUUGAGGGAUGCAGAGGAGAUUGGAAUUCCCGGUGUAGCGGUGAAAUGUGUAGAGAUCAUGAGGAAGACCAGUGGCGAAGGCGGGUCUCUGGACAGUUCCUGACACUGAGACACGAAGGCCAGGGGAGCAAACGGG